rnacentral:rRNA from 1 species
UACGUAGGGACCAAGCGUUGUUCGGAUUUACUGGGCGUAAAGGGCGCGUAGGCGGCAAUUCAAGUCAUCUGUGAAAUCUCCGGGCUUAACUCGGAACGGUCAGAUGAUACUGCUUUGCUAGAGUGCGGAAGGGGCAAUCGGAAUUCUCGGUGUAGCGGUGAAAUGCGUAGAUAUCGACAGGAACACCAGAGGUGAAGACGGGUUGCUGGGCCGACACUGACGCUGAAGCGCGAAAGCCAGGGGAGCAAACGGG